rnacentral:rRNA from 1 species
AUUGAACGCUGGCGGCAUGCCUUACACAUGCAAGUCGAACGGCAGCACGGGGGCAACCCUGGUGGCGAGUGGCGGACGGGUGAGUAAUGCAUCGGAACGUGCCCUGAAGUGGGGGAUAACGCAGCGAAAGCUACGCUAAUACCGCAUAUUCUGUGAGCAGGAAAGCAGGGGAUCGCAAGACCUUGCGCUUUGGGAGCGGCCGAUGUCGGAUUAGCUAGUUGGUGGGGUAAAGGCCUACCAAGGCGACGAUCCGUAGCGGGUCUGAGAGGAUGAUCCGCCACACCUGGGGACUGAGACACGGCCCAGACUCCUACGGGAGGCAGCAGUGGGGAAUUUUUGGA